rnacentral:rRNA from 1 species
GAUGCCAGCUUGCUGGUGGAUUAGUGGCGAACGGGUGAGUAACACGUGAGUAACCUGCCCUUAACUCUGGGAUAAGCCUGGGAAACUGGGUCUAAUACCGGAUAUGACCUUCCAUCGCAUGGUGGUUGGUGGAAAGCUUUUUGUGGUUUUGGAUGGACUCGCGGCCUAUCAGCUUGUUGGUGAGGUAAUGGCUUACCAAGGCGACGACGGGUAGCCGGCCUGAGAGGGUGACCGGCCACACUGGGACUGAGACACGGCCCAGACUCCUACGGGAGGCAGCAGUGGGGAAUAUUGCACAAUGGGCGCAAGCCUGAUGCAGCGACGCCGCGUGAGGGAUGACGGCCUUCGGGUUGUAAACCUCUUUCAGUAGGGAAGAAGCGAAAGUGACGGUACCUGCAGAAGAAGCGCCGGCUAACUACGUGCCAGCAGCCGCGGUAAUACGUAGGGCGCAAGCGUUAUCCGGAAUUAUUGGGCGUAAAGAGCUCGUAGGCGGUUUGUCGCGUCUGCCGUGAAAGUCCGGGGCUCAACUCCGGAUCUGCGGUGGGUACGGGCAGACUAGAGUGAUGUAGGGGAGACUGGAAUUCCUGGUGUAGCGGUGAAAUGCGCAGAUAUCAGGAGGAACACCGAUGGCGAAGGCAGGUCUCUGGGCAUUAACUGACGCUGAGG